AGGGGGGAAAAUUGAAGGGCUGAAGAGAAAUGACUGCUAACAACGCGACAAAGUUCCGUAAAGACUAAUGAAGAUAGCAUGCUCAGCAAGGAAAUUCGAACUAAAGCAUGGGGAAGAGCACACUGGGUAAGCCCAAGAGCAGUUAAGAAGAAAGUGCUUUCGUGACACGAUUCUGUGGGACACUCUAAUGAUGGACACGUGUCAUCAUCCAUCUGUUCAAACCCACUGAACGUACGACACCAAGACCGAACCCUGGAUGUCGACGAUGGGCUGUGGGUGAUACUGACACGUCACUGCAGGCUCACGGUUUGUAGCAAGGGGACCACUGCCGUGAGGGGUGUCUACACUAGGGGACAGGUGGGGACAGCAAGUAGACAGGAAACCUCUGCACUUUGGGCCCACUCUUGCCAUGAACUUAAAAGUGCUCUAAAAAGUAAGGUCUAUUUAAAAGUGAGGGCAGGGGAACCAGCCCUUCCUCCCUACUCUCCUCUGUGGUCUCUGUCAUCAACCACCAUCAACCAUGGCAACAUGUGAAGCUCGCUCCCCUCUCCCCACUGCCCUUUCUUCUUUGAUAAACACAUAUGCUCCCAGUUUAGCCACCAUCUUUACUCAAUGGCUUCCAAAUCCCUAUUUUUCCCUGUUAUCUCUCUCCUAAGCUCCAAGCCUACAUCUCCAUAUGGAGGGCUCACUAGAAUUUCAAAACGAUCACUUCCAAAACAGAACUCAUGGCUCUCUCCCUUCUCUCUCUCUGCUCCUCUCGGCCCCUCAAAAUAAAUAAACUUAAAAAAACAAAAAACA